rnacentral:rRNA from 1 species
CAAGUCGAGGGGAACGACAUCGAAAGCUUGCUUUUGAUGGGCGUCGACCGGCGCACGGGUGAGUAACGCGUAUCCAACCUGCCCAUCACUUGGGGAUAACCUUGCGAAAGUAAGACUAAUACCCAAUGAUAUCUCUAGAAGGCAUCUGAAAGAGAUUAAAGAUUUAUCGGUGAUGGAUGGGGAUGCGUCUGAUUAGCUUGUUGGCGGGGUAACGGCCCACCAAAGCAACGAUCAGUAGGGGUUCUGAGAGGAAGGUCCCCCACAUUGGAACUGAGACACGGUCCAAACUCCUACGGGAGGCAGCAGUGAGGAAUAUUGGUCAAUGGACGAGAGUCUGAACCAGCCAAGUAGCGUGCAGGAUGACGGCCCUAUGGGUUGUAAACUGCUUUUAUAAGGGAAUAAAGUGAGUCUCGUGAGACUUUUUGCAUGUACCUUAUGAAUAAGGACCGGCUAAUUCCGUGCCAGCAGCCGCGGUAAUACGGAAGGUCCGGGCGUUAUCCGGAUUUAUUGGGUUUAAAGGGAGCGUAGGCCGGAGAUUAAGCGUGCUGUGAAAUGUAGAUGCUCAACAUCUGCACUGCAGCGCGAACUGGUUUCCUUGAGUACGCACAAAGUGGGCGGAAUUCGUGGUGUAGCGGUGAAAUGCUUAGAUAUCACGAAGAACUCCGAUUGCGAAGGCAGCUCACUGGAGCGCAACUGACGCUGAAGCUCGAAAGUGCGGGUAUCGAACAGGAUUAGAUACCCUGGUAGUCCGCACGGUAAACGAUGGAUGCCCGCUGUUGGUCUGAAUAGGUCAGCGGCCAAGCGAAAGCAUUAAGCAUCCCACCUGGGGAGUACGCCGGCAACGGUGAAACUCAAAGGAAUUGACGGGGGCCCGCAC